rnacentral:lncRNA from 12 species
CCUAAUUCUUCACCCUGGUGCUCCCAGGCAGCACCCCAGGGGUGGCCCAGAUGUUCACUGAGCACGUGUGAAUUCUGAUAAUCUGGGAGUACCAGAAAUCCCCAAGGAGGCAGCUGGAGCCCAGGGGACAGGAGCCUGCAGAGGUGCAGAAGGCCAAGCACUAAAGACCAGAGCUCACAGGAACCAGUCAGUGCAAAUAAUGUGAAAUCCCUCACUGGUGUGUUCUCUUCCUGCUCCACUGCUGCGCAGCAAGGCCACACCAGGCUCAGCAGGGCUCAGUUUCCUCACCCUCCCCACCAGCAGUGCCCGUGGCUCCCUGGCUCUCAGAGCUGUUUGAGCAGAGCUGUGACUCCUGGGCUGGGCAGGAGCAUCUCCCUGUCUCUGCUGUGGCACCACUGUGCUCCUUCUGUGCCCACCCAUGGCACCAGCACUGGCCCCUCCAGCCUCAGCAUCCAGGAGAAAGAAGCCUUUAGUUACAUCAAUUAUUCCACAAAUGACUCAGGUCUUUGGCACUUUAUAUCACCAGGGUUUGGAGUUUCUGUGAGUGUGAGAAGUGAAAGCACUCAUUUACUGCAGCAAUAAUACAUGGAGACCUACUGCCAAAGCUCCCAGCUGUGCCAUGUCUACCACUCACCAUGAAAGGGGCGAAAGUACCACCAAACAGAAAAGCCAACAGACAG